CGUGCGCGAGUCGCAGGGUUGUACGAAACCCGAGGGCGUAACGAAAGUGAAACUGAUCUUCGGAUCAACAGGUGGGAUCCCGAAGCACACGUGCGACGGGCGCACCACCGGCCUGUCUCAGCCGCCACGUCGGCGAGGCGGAGCAAGAGCGUACGCGUUGGGACCCGAAAGAUGGUGAACUAUGCCUGAGCAGGAUGAAGCCAGAAGAAAUUCUGGUGGAAGUCCGCAGCGAUUCUGACGUGCAAAUCGAU
rnacentral:rRNA from 1 species